UACAGAGGGGGCGAGCGUUUGUUCGGAAUUACUGGGCGUAAAGGCGCGUAGGCGGCCUGCUAAGUCAUACGUGAAAUCCCCUCGGCUCAACCGAGGAACUGCGUCUGAUACUGGUUGGCUUGAAUUCGGGAGAGGGAUGCGGAAUUCCAGGUGUAGCGGUGAAAUGCGUAGAUAUCGAGAGGAACACCUGGCGGCGAAGGCGGGUUGCUGGGCUGACACUGACGCUGGAUGCGCGAAAGCCAGGGGAGCGAACGGG
rnacentral:rRNA from 1 species